CCCAGCCGCCCUAUUCGGGCGUUUCCUCCCUAUUUUACCUCCACCGCCGGGCCCCAAGCCCGGCGGUUUUUUCUUGAGCGC
rnacentral:sRNA from 1 species